rnacentral:lncRNA from 1 species
CUGAUGGUAUUACCAAUGUAUAUGGGCUGAGGACUCUAAAAGUGAAGUAGCAGGAUUUUCUUUGGUUUUAAAUGUCUUGUCCAUGAACUCAGAACCUGCGAAGUCUGAGGUUGUAAAAUUGGAAACAGUAAACACUGUAAAGAAGGCAGACGCUAUUUUAGAAGUUCUAAUUUAUAAAGUUCUGCUGUCCACCUGUAGAUAUCCUUGAUGAUGUCAUUGGUGAAAAGGGUCCAAUUAGUCCUAAAACUCACAGGACACUUGAUCCAAAAACCACCAGAAUAAUUCCCACAGCUCUAUGCAGUCCACCAUUAAGGUUGUGAAUACCUUGGCAUUAAUUGUCAGUCGUCAACUCAAGUCAGCUAUUAGUGAAAAACAACCUCUCACAACAUCAAUUUUUACUGACCCUAUUAUUAACCAAAGACAUUUAAUAUAAAGCUGAUAGAAAUAUUUCUAUUGAUCAUAAGAAAUCAAGUCAAUCCCAGUUGAUAAGGAGGCUUAUGGAAUUAGGUGUCAUAAGGUACACCACUACAAUUUCAGUCAUUGGUUCUGAUCUUCUCCUUCCUUCCAUCCUUUGGCACCUAGCUCCAUACUCUGGUUUCUCAUUCUUGCAGUUUAUGAAUAAUGGAAAUCUUGUUCUACUCAUCUCUGAGGACUUAUCCAGAUAAUAACAUCUGUUGGUUAUUGUCAGAUGUUUCUAUUGUUCUGCUGCUCCCUGAUUUUGAGGCUUGCCGUGGUGAUGCCUUCUCCCAAUGAGAAGAAUUUUUUCUGAACUAGGUGCUGCCACC